UUAGUUUUCUCCACCCACUACUUAGUGAGAACUCCUUAACUAGAAGACUAACAACUUAAAGCUUUAUCCCUGUGAGUACCAGAAAAGUGAUCUGAGUAUUUAUUAAACAGAGAGAACAAACUGCCUACUUCAGGCAGGGAGGAAGCGUAUGGAAAUUAUAUUAGAACUUCAGCAAAGUGCAGAGCUGCAUAAUACAGAAGCUGGGACUCAAAUUGACAGGCUAAUAAGCCAGCUCACUGAAGGGGGCUCUGUGUGGCAGCUCUGAGCUGCUGAGUGUUGGACAACUGUAGGCAAAAUGUGAAAUGGAACAGGGCAGAAAAUAACACACUAACUUCAGGCAACUGUUGCUUUCUCAUGGUCUUCAGGGAUUUUACACUGUGUAGCUGGCAAAACAAGUCCCCAUUUAACUACUAAGCUUACUACCCAAAUGGAAAACUCAGCUGCUGGAAUCCAUAUUGAGGACUUGUAUCAUGGCCAUAAUAGUGUGAAGUACUUGUUAACUGGAACUGCCAGAGCCUGUUCAGCAUGGCACCUUGCUUUGCUGGUGAUGUCACAUGCAGCACUGACUAUAAUUGGAGAAUUGAACCUGUCUGUGGGGGCAAGGUGUAUGGCUGUCGUUAUGACUUUUGCAAAAAGAUCCUUUUUGUUUCACAGAUUAGGGAUGUGUGCAUCUGAUUGAUCGGAAUGUAAGAAAGAAAUGUCUUUCCUGAAACAAACAUGCCAUGGCUUUGCAUUUUGAAAGUACUAGAUGAAGGCAUAAAAAAAGAACCAGACAAGACUAUUUUAGAUGCACGCUUAUUGUGAUAUCCUCAGUGCUUGUUAUCAUAUAUUCUUCAUAGGUCUACCCACUAUGAUAAAUUGUACAGUGCAAGGAAAAAUUAAAACGGACAUGAAAAAUGAAGAAGUUGGUUAUACCAGAAAUCAGUGAAGCUUUGUACUCGUGUUUGUUAUGGCUCAGAACCACAAUUACUACAAAGAAUUCCUGCCAUCCUAACACUUUGACAAAGGUCAGAUCAAACAAGCAACCUGCUGUAGACUGUCUAUUUUUGAGGUGCUUCCUGAAUGUAUCAGUAGGAACAAGAACCCUAUCUCACCCCACCAGCCAUUAUGAGCAGGGUGGAAGGAUGGACAGUCUGAAGGUCACCAGUGAGAAGCAUGAAAGAGCUUCCCUCCGAUCAGCGGUCUUAAAUUCCCUCUGUUGCAUUGGGAAACAAGUAAAAAAGUCUGGCUGUCUCCUAACCUGCAAGUUCUCAUACAGGAAAUCACUGGCCUUAUAGUGGCCAAGAAUGAUGUCGGGAGAAAUUCAGAUCCUUUCCUUUUGACUUUCCUUCCUUUGCCCUGUGAGGUGUGGGAGGAGAGGAAACACAUUUUUCUAUUUUUUUUUUUAAUUUUUAAUUGAAUUUAUUCUUGCUAAUUAAUACCUGCAGCAAGGAGAUUAGGAAAUUGUACCUGCAUGAUAGAUGCCUGGAAAGUUUAAGAGCUAGAUUAUGGCUUUUGAGAGACAACCUUGAUUAGGGGAUGGUGUGGAGUUGCCCCAAGCCAGUGUGGGGGGGCAUCAGACAGUUUUAGUAAGCUGCAACUAAGCAAGUGUGGGAACUGUGUUGCUCACCCAGGAGACUGAGCGUGGGCCACUCCCAAUCUAGACAAAAAGGUUUAUUGUCCUCUUUGGAUUAAAAGUGGCCCCAGUCAUCACCAGUAUGUUGUUUUCUUUUGUUUUUAUUUUCUUUUGUAGUUUAAUUCCUUUGGAAAGAGAUGUUAUUGCUGUUUUCUGCCAACAAUAUAAUAUUUUAUAUUAAUUUUACAAAAUAAGGAGGAUUGUUUGAUCUGAAACCAAAUAGAAAUGACUGGUACAGAAACUGUGGGAAUGUUUCUUUGGUCUUUUAACUGCAUGAUAGAAUUAUAAUUCUAUCCAGAAUACUUUAUAGGUUGUCACAUUUUCCUUGUGUCAUCAUUAACUUUAAUUAAAAUGUUUUUACUUUACAAUGUAUAAUGUGUUGUUUCUAGAGUUAUCAAGUUACAUGCAAAAAUUUAUGGGAAUGUCAAUUAAUUUUAAAGCAGAUUAAAGCAGAGAAUGAAAAACAAAAAGAAAGGACUCUAUUAAGUACAACUGGAUGGAGCAGGUUAUAGUCUUUAGUUUCAUUUUGAAGCCAUAAGAUAUAUGGUCUGUUUUAGGCAAAACAUGGCAUUCUUGACCUUUAAAGAUGAUUACCAGGAUGCCAGAAUACCAACUGAUCAAGCAGUAAUUAGCAUUGUGUUGCUGUGUUGUGUUUUCUCCUUUAGGAAAUAAAUGCACCCCUAUAACAUAGUUUAUCGUGAAUGUUUUCAAAUAUAGGACAAAUCUGGCAAUAUUUAUUCACAUAAGUAAUCUUUUCUAAAGUAGGCCCAUUGAUUUCAAGUAGUCUCAGUACUUUGUCGUCACUUAUACUGCCUGUGUGCAUAGGGAAUAUUCACAUGUAUAAGAGUUGCAGGAUUGGGUUUAAAGUUAUGGGCAUCUUGAACUCCCAUUGAUUUCUCCGGGCGAUACCGGUGUUCAGUAUCUCACAGGGUCUGACCCAUGGAAAGAAAUAUCCCACAGUUCUGUAUGUAUUAUUGCAGAGACACUGACCAGCCAAAUUUGCUUAUCAAUUCCACUGAUUCCUGUGGAGAUUAGAGAUUAGCAUAAACCAUAACCUAGUUCCAAACCCACAAACUUUUUGGGUGUUCAAAGUAUGGAUACAAAUUUUUCAGGUUGCACCCAUGCCAAAUCCUGCUUGCAUAUAAAUCAACUCACUUGAGUAAGGUAAGGAGAACAGCAAUGCACAAAUCCAAAGAAAACGUAUACAGAAAGAACACUUUGGGGUUAAAAAUCAUGGGCCAGAUUCAUGGAUACAGUGUGGAUGCUUUGACCCAUUCCAGUGAAACAUAGCAGCCAUCAACCCAGUCCGACUGGUUAAACCACGUUUCUAGCUACUCUGCAUUGCCAAAACAAUACAAAGCAGUUGGAGCAUAUAGGUGAAUCUGGCUUCGUAUAGUUUUAGGUGACAUAUUUUCAAAUCCCCGUUAGAUAUAAUCCCUUUAGAUUAUCAAAUUGAAAGAAAUUUAAAAACCUAAUUAUCUUUUCACAGUUUCUGCUGUUUUUCACUUCACUUGGACAAAUGAAAAUAAACUGAUCAAUUUUGCUGUAGUUUUUCAUCUGUUUCACUUUCUCUUGUCAGAAACUAGCUCAAGGCAGCAGUCUUUGGGUUGAGAAUGUAAGGGAAUGUUUAAACCCAAACCAAAAAAUGUUUUCAUUGACGUUUUUAAAAGGGAGAAAUUUACUAACAGCAUUUAUUAGACUGUGAAACUUUUCUUUGUGACCAUUCAGGAGCCCUACAAUAGGUUGCUUAUCAGGUAAAGGGGGAUCAAAAUUGCAUCUGACAUUUUUUGAAUUAUUUUAGUGACAGCCUGUUACCCAAUCAGGGUGGUCUCCAGUACAAUUUCCUCUAUUAGUUAUUUUU